GGUCGUGUUCAUGUUAUCAAGGGUGAAGCUGAUGGCGUGAAAAAUCAUACCCAACAGAGCUGAAAGAGAACACACAGAUGAUGGUGAAGAGAGAGAAAAAGCGGGGUGCGGAUGGAGGUACCUGAUCUUUGACGCCAAUCCAAAGGCCAAGGGGCUGACAAGGACAGGAAAGGACGCACUCUUGUACCCGUUUCCGCGGUGGGAUCUUCCCCGGAGCCUCAGCCUUCCUCUCUAUGCCUCCGUAGGAAGGUUCCCUUGUCCCAAGCACAGCCCCUUCUACAAGUUGGGAGAAACAGCCGGUUCACCCAGGAUGCGAGCAUCAGUGGCUGAGCAGGCGCCCCGGCGCGCGGCGUUCCCUUGGCAACGGGAGCUUCUUCCGGUCCCAAAGCCACGCCCACCCGGGCGUCGUAGGUGUCCGCCCACAGGUUCUCCUUUCUGCGGCUGGAGAGCUCUGGAAUACUUGGUGCCUGGAGAGAUCAGAAGAGGGUAUCAUAUCUACUGAGACUGGAAUCAGGGAAGAUUGUGAGCCACCAUGUGGGUGCUACGACUCAAACCUGACUCCUCUGCAAGAGCCACGAGUGCUCUAAACCAUGGAGCCCUCUUCAUCCCCAACUUAGGUGAUUUUUAACAACAAAAGAGGAACAUCUUUUUGUAAGAUUUGGAAUAGCUACUUCUGAUAGAUUCAGCGGAAGCAGGAUAGCAUUUGAAGACCCAGAGAACACAAUCACAAAUGUGGCCCCUAUGCCUCACUAAAGAAACUUCUCAUUGCAACAGCUAAUCAUGGGUGCUCAGUCCCGGUGGACACAUCUCCAACAUAGCUACAGCCCAGUGAACAUUGCAGAAGAUGAGGAUUACAUGAGUCUGGAGAUCAGGGAAUCUGUUAUCGGUUUGUGACUCCUGGAAAUGACAGGAAAGCUACGUCUGUGAUACCUCAAUAGGAUGGCUGCCUAAAUAAGACCUGAGCAAUGACAGUACCAAUAAACAC
rnacentral:lncRNA from 1 species